UGAGAGUUUUGGUCCUGGACUUUCCGUUAUUUAUGAUUAAGAUUACACAUGCAAGUAUCCACACUCCAGUGAGUCCGCCCAAUCACUAUAGGAGCAGGCAUCAGGCACAACCCAUCUUAUCAGCCCAUAACGCCAAGAUAUCCACACCCACACGGGUAUUCAGCAGUGACCAAUAUUAGGCUAUGAGCUAACGCUCGACCUAGCUAUACUCCAAGGAGUCGGCAAACUUCGUGCCAGCCGCCGCGGUUAUACGAAGUGACUCCAAAUAACGAACAGCGGCAAAAAGCGUGAACACACACAUUCAACACACUAAGCAUCAACUGGAACUAAUACGUAAAACCAAAGCCCAAUUUGAACACCAACACAGAGCUUAAACACUAGGAAUUCAAAACUCACGAAAACUGAGAAACAAACUAGGAUUAGAUACCCUACUAUGCUCAAUAGUAAACAUCGAUUUUUACUUUUAACCCGCCAGAGAACAACGAGCAAAGCUUAAAACCCAAAGGACUUGGCGGCGCUUCAUAUCACCCUAGAGGGGCCUGUCAUAUAAUCGAUAACCCACGAUAUACCUUACCACCUUUAGCCAGUACAGCCUAUAUACCGCCGUCGCCAGCCCAUCUUGAUAGAGGAAUAAAAUGGACCAAAAAGUAUUUAUACUCAUACGACAGGUCAAGGUGUAGCUUAUAAGAUGGUAAAUGAUGGACCACAUUGCUUAACAAAGCUAUACCAAAACUGCACUGAAACACACACUUUAAGGUGAAUUUAACAGUAAGACGAACAAGAAAAUCUGUCUAAAGUAUGCUCUGGAGCGUGCACACACCGCCCGUCACCCUACUUUACUCACAACCCACAAACAUAUUACAACAACCAAAACAAGAGUAGGAAAGUCGUAACAAGGUAAGCGCACCGGAAGGUACGCUUGGAAGA
rnacentral:ncRNA from 1 species